AAUUAUUUGCUACAAUAACAAGACUGAACAUGAUAUUUUCAUGAGCCUAAUUUACUGAUUAUACUUUACUGACACCUGUCUGAAAUUCUCUGUUCACACUUGAGUCAAGUUAAGCAUCUUCAGGACUAUCUAUAAUUAGCAAUUUAAAAGUUAUAAAAUUUCAGCUGGGAGCAUGAAUUUGAUUGGCUUGUAAGCUCUGAUAAAUGGACGAAACGAGGCAAGAUUUAAGUCUGUUCAUUUGAAAUGAAAGAAUUAGAGAGUUGCAGUAGUGUGUUUUAAUAAUACUCGCCUAAAGUAUUUAAUUCUACAAAAUGCAAUUGCUUUAUUCCCCAGCCUGCUUUUAAAACCAAGCACAUUCCCCCCAGUGCCUCCUGCCUUUAUUUUUAGCGGCUCAAUUCGCCCCGGCCCAGACAUUGAGUCAUACUGAUCUCCAGGUACAUACUGGUCAAUGGACCACGUCCCCCUGAUCUUUCCUGGCACCUGUCUCCUUUAAUGCCGCUGUGCGGGAGGGGAGGGUUGCCUGCAUUUGAAGCAUGACCCCAAAGUGAGUAAGAGUUGACAUUUUAUCUUCACACGCUGCCUCUGAAGGCUCACCACCGGCCUGUAAUGGGAAUUAAUUAUGAACGUGACUCAUGUAGAGGCCUUCGCUUCACCAUUUCGGCAAUCAGAGAGACAGGUUCUAGGCUGGUUAUUUCAACCCUGUUUGACUAAUUCUUUGAAAGAACAUUCUCAAAAACCCAGCACGAAUGAUCGCUGGGAGCUAAAGCGGAUUGCGCUGACAUUGCUAAACUGUUGCCUACCUAGGAACAGACGUGAUGGACACCAGAAAAUAGAAAUCUCAUGGAGUCAAGGCAAUAGCAGGAAAAAAAAAAUCACGUACAGUGUGAAGGAGCCAAAUUCUCCAGCACAAUGUGAAUUUCUUGUCCUGUACCCCAAAGCUCACCCAUCCAGCCUGCCUUGCCCCCUGUUCAGCCAAACUACUCUAGACUAAGUUUUCUCUCUUCAUAUCUGGAGGCUGCUAGCAAAUAUAUGAGGUUUGGGAUUGCCAGAUCUACACUGAAAGUUUAUGACUCUGCGUGGUCUUAUUUUUCUCUUUUCUGUGCUGCUUUCGCCGUUCUUGCCUUUCCAAUAAAUAUUGAAGUUAUAUGCGCCUUUAUAGUCCACUGUGUAAAUGCCCAUAAGCUUCAGCCUUCCACUAUUAAAGCAACUAUAGCAGGAAUCCAGUUCCAUCUUCGUUGCUGAGACCCUAGAAGCAUCAGCCUCUUCAAUCAUACUUCCAUCUCCCUGCUCAUCAAAGGCAUCUUGAAGGCUCAUCCACUGAAGAAAGAUAAACAUUUACUUUUAUCUAACCUUUCCACUGUUACAUAAAUUAUUGAAACGUCUCAGACUCGAGGUCUUCGGGACUUAUUCUUAGUCCUUCUAGAUGCAGUCCUGCUCACAGCUUUCUAUGGUUUCUUGAGGUGUGGGGAAUUUACUUGCAAGUCACUUCACUUCAAUCCUAAUCACGAUCUCACCAUUUCUGACAUUUUUCUUG
ensembl:lncRNA